rnacentral:rRNA from 1 species
AUAUUACUCAGCGGAGGAAAAGAAACUAACAAAGAUUGCCUCAGUAACUGAGAGUGAAGUGGCAAGAGCUCAACCUUAAAAUCGCUUGGCCCCGGUUAAGCGAAUUGUAAGCUCGAGUACCGGACUUAGGCUGUUCCGUAGCAUAAGUGUCUAGGAUUGGCUGCCAUAGAGGGUGAAAGCCCCGUUCAUGGCGACGGAACGACCGAGGGAAGGAAUCUCAGAGUCGGGUUGUUUUGUAAUGCAGCCCUAAAUGGGAGAUAAACAUCUUCUAAAGCUAAAUAUAAAUGGGAGACCGAUAGCGCACAAGUA